ACCUCGUGAAAGACAUGGGUAGUGAGAUGUCCUGUACAUCAAAAUUCUCACUACCUUGUCUUUCAUGCGGAU
rnacentral:pre_miRNA from 1 species